GCAGGCUGCAACUCGCCUGCAUGAAGUCGGAAUUGCUAGUAAUCGUGGAUCAGCAUGCCACGGUGAAUACGUUCCCGGGCCUUGUACACACCGCCCGUCACACCAUGGGAGUCGGUAACACCCGAAGCCUGUAGUCUAACCGCAAGGAGGACGCAGUCGAAGGUGGGAUUGAUGACUGGGGUGAAGUCGUAACAAGGUAGC
rnacentral:rRNA from 1 species